rnacentral:tRNA from 1 species
AACGUAGAAGUAAAAAUUACAUUUAGUUUCGACCUAAAAUAAAAGAAUAAAAAUUUCUUCAUGUUU